rnacentral:rRNA from 1 species
AUUGAACGCUGGCGGCAGGCCUAACACAUGCAAGUCGAGCGAGCGGCGGACGGGUGAGUAAUGUCUGGGAAACUGCCUGAUGGAGGGGGAUAACUACUGGAAACGGUCGCUAAUACCGCAUACCAUCAGAUGUGCCCAGAUGGGAUUAGCUCGUGGGUGGGGUACUGGCUCACCUAGGCGCCGAUCCCUAGCUGGUCUGAGAGGAUGACCAGCCACACUGGAACUGAGACACGGUCGAGAGUCCUACGGGAGGCAGCAGUGGGGAAUAUUGCACAAUGGGUGCAGGCCUGAUACAGCCAUGCCGCGUGUAUGAGGAAGGCCUUCGGGUUGUAAAGUACUUUCAGCGGGGAGGCGUUACCCGCAGAAGAAGCACCGGCUAACUCCGUGCCAGCAGCCGCGGUAAUAC